UAGAAAGGGGUGUGUAGGAAGCACUAAGAGUUUUGAUCUCUUCGGAAUGGGUUCGAAUCCCUUCUUUCUAG
rnacentral:tRNA from 1 species